UGGGGAAUAUUGGACAAUGGGCGAAAGCCUGAUCCAGCGAUGUCGCGUGAGUGAUGAAGGCCUUCGGGUUGUAAAGCUCUUUUGUCGGGGAAGAUAAUGACGGUACCCGAAGAAUAAGUGCCGGCAAACUUCGUGCCAGCAGCCGCGGUAAUACGAAGGGCACAAGCGUUACUCGGAAUCACUGGGCGUAAAGAGUGCGUAGGCUGUAUUAUAAGUUAGAUGUGAAAUCCUUGGGCUCAACCUGAGAACUGCAUUUAAAACUAUAAUACUGGAGUAUGGUAGAGGACAAUGGAAUUUCCGGUGGAGGGGUAAAAUCCGUAGAUAUCGGAAGGAACACCGAAAGCGAAGGCAUUUGUCUGGGCCAUUACUGACGCUGAUGCACGAAAGCGUGGGGAGCCAA
rnacentral:rRNA from 1 species